UGGUCUCUUGCCUCGCUCGGUCUUCUGCUUCCCUCGGUUGAUCUUGAGCUGGAUACAGCAUAUACUUCGGUAUAUCCUGUAUGAGACGAGAACAUGGUUGACGCCCUCGACGAUCUUUGAGUACGGUUUUAUCCGCAUGACACGGAUAUGAUCGUAAUUUAUCAGUCGGGACAUUC
rnacentral:snoRNA from 1 species